UUGCACGGAGAACACCCAGGGACGCUAGUGUGGCUCUCUCUGGUCUCUUACUUCUGUGCUACAGUAACUCUGCUCUGUACCUCUGCAUUAGGAGAGUCCUCGUCUCCAUAAAUGUAUUCAGCGGAUCAGUACAAAC
ensembl:snoRNA small nucleolar RNA SNORA22